rnacentral:rRNA from 1 species
GUGGGGAAUAUUGGGCAAUGGGGGAAACCCUGACCCAACGACGCCGCGUGAGGGAAGACGGCCUUCGGGUUGUAAACCUCUUUUGUACGGGAAGAAGGAAGUGACGGUACUGUACGAAUAAGUCCCGGCUAACUACGUGCCAGCAGCCGCGGUAAUACGUAGGGGACGAUCGUUGUCCGGAAUUACUGGGCGUAAAGGGCGCGCAGGCUGUGCUGCAAGUCAGCUGUGAAAUGUCUGGGUUUAACCCGGGCAUGCGGUUGAGACUGCAGUGCUGGAGUGCUGUAGAGGCAAGUGGAAUUCCCAGUGUAGCGGUGAAAUGCGUAGAUAUUGGGAAGAACACCGGUGGCGAAGGCGACUUGCUGGGCAGCAACUGACGCUGAGGCGCGAAAGCCAGGGGAGCAAACGGGAUUAGAAACCCUUGUAGUCC